rnacentral:lncRNA from 1 species
AGAGAGAGAGAGAGAGUGUGAACAAGAAACAAGUUCAAGAAUAUCAACAAUACCAAUAAAUUCAACCAAUUUAUAGUCCAUAAAAAACAAAAACAAAAUUAACCUUCUUGGAGGUGGGUUCGCCGGAAUAGACCAUUGCCGCCAAUAAGGGAGAAAGGAGAACACCUAUGCUCCAAAGAGUACUUGUGUACAAAAACAAUUGAUCAAAACUAUAGAAAAUCAUAUCUAAAGUUGUUAUUCAACAUGUAGUUGUAUAAAAUGAAAGAAAGAUUAUCGCCAAAAGCUUCGUCCAAGAAGAGUUUGAACAGAGAAAAGGGUUUCACGCAAAGAUAAAGUGAAUGAAUUUUCAACCUCCCACUCAAAUUUUUAAUGAAUUAACCAACAUAAGGCAUUUGACAUUAUAUGUGAAUAUAUUUUUACCUUCGUGUUAAAGAAUUUUAUGAAAAUGAUCAAAUAUGAUUUCGAAAAUUAAGAAUUCUAACAUCUAAUGACUAUAUAAAAUCGGAACAUAUAAAUACUCUG